AGGUGCUGCAUGGCUGUCGUCAGCUCGUGUCGUGAGAUGUGGUUAAGUCCCGCAACGAGCGCAACCCUUGUCAUUAGUUGCUACAUUCAGUUGGGCACUCUAAUGAGACUGCCGGUGACAAGCCGGAGGAAGUGGGGAUGACGUCAAGUCCUCAUGGCCCUUAUAGUGGGGCUACACACGUCAUACAAUGGCUGGUACAAAGGGUUGCCAACCCGCGAGGGGGAGCCAAUCCCAUAAAGCCAGUCGUAGUCCGGAUCGUAGUCUGCAACUCGACUACGUGAAGUCGGAAUCGCUAGUAAUCGUGGAUCAGAAUGUCACGGUGAAUACGUUCCCGGGUCUU
rnacentral:rRNA from 1 species